GAUGAACGCUGGCGGCGUGCCUAAUACAUGCAAGUCGAGCGAACAGACGAGGAGCUUGCUCCUCUGACGUUAGCGGCGGACGGGUGAGUAACACGUGGAUAACCUACCUAUAAGACUGGGAUAACUUCGGGAAACCGGAGCUAAUACCGGAUAAUAUAUUGAACCGCAUGGUUCAAUAGUGAAAGACGGUUUUGCUGUCACUUAUAGAUGGAUCCGCGCCGCAUUAGCUAGUUGGUAAGGUAACGGCUUACCAAGGCAACGAUGCGUAGCCGACCUGAGAGGGUGAUCCGCCACACUGGAACUGAGACACGGUCCAGACUCCUACGGGAGGCAGCAGUAGGGAAUCUUCCGCAAUGGGGGAAAGCCCGACGGAGCAACGCCGCGUGAGUGAUGAAGGUCUUCGGAUCGUAAAACUCUGUUAUUAGGGAAGAGCAAAUGUGUAAGUAACUAUGCACGUCUUGACGGUACCUAAUCAGAAAGCCACGGCUAACUACGUG
rnacentral:rRNA from 1 species